UCCCACGUGGUCUAGUGGUUAGGAUACCUGAUUUUCAUCCACGAGGCCGGGGUUCGAUUCCCGCUUACGAA
rnacentral:tRNA from 1 species